rnacentral:rRNA from 1 species
GUCGAGCGGAAUGAUGAAGAAGCUUGCUUCUUCUGAUUUUAGCGGCGGACGGGUGAGUAACACGUGGGCAACCUACCUUGUAGAUUGGGAUAACUCCGGGAAACCGGGGCUAAUACCGAAUAAUCCAUUUUGCUUCAUGGCGAAAUGUUAAAAGGCGGCGAUCUCGCUGUCACUGCAAGAUGGGCCCGCGGCGCAUUAGCUAGUUGGUAAGGUAACGGCUUACCAAGGCGACGAUGCGUAGCCGACCUGAGAGGGUGAUCGGCCACACUGGGACUGAGACACGGCCCAGACUCCUACGGGAGGCAGCAGUAGGGAAUCUUCCACAAUGGACGAAAGUCUGAUGGAGCAACGCCGCGUGAGUGAAGAAGGUUUUCGGAUCGUAAAACUCUGUUGUAAGGGAAGAACACGUACGAGAGUAACUGCUCGUACCUUGACGGUACCUUAUUAGAAAGCCACGGCUAACUACGUGCCAGCAGCCGCGGUAAUACGUAGGUGGCAAGCGUUGUCCGGAAUUAUUGGGCGUAAAGCGCGCGCAGGCGGUCCUUUAAGUCUGAUGUGAAAGCCCACGGCUCACCCGUGGAGGGUCAUUGGAAACUGGGGGACUUGAGUACAGAAGAGGAAAGCAGAUUUCCAAGUGUAGCGGUGAAAUGCGUAGAGAUUUGGAGGAACACCAGUGGCGAAGGCGGCUUUCUGGUCUGUAACUGACGCUGAGGCGCGAAAGCGUGGGGAGCAACAGGAUUAGAUACCCUGGUAGUCCACGCCGUAAACGAUGAGUGCUA